AACGAACGCUGGCGGCAUGCCUAAUACAUGCAAGUCGAACGAGACCUUCGGGUCUAGUCUCGCACGGGUUCGUAACGUGUGGCAACCUCCCCUUAGGUUCGCAAUAACUCCCCGACUGUGGUCCUAAUAUCGCUUAAUGUCUCCGUACCUAAUAUUUAUCGCUUUUGGUUGUGCCCUCGUUGUAUUAGCUAGUUUGUAAGCUAAAAGCCUACCAAGGCGCCGAUCCAUAGCUGGCCUGGUAGGAUGAUCAGCAACACUGGGGCUGGGACAAGGCCGAGACUCUUAGGGGAGGACGCAGGGGGGAAUAUUCAACACUGGGCGAAUGACUGAUGCAGCCAGGUCGCGUGAGUGAUGAAGGCCUUAGGGAUGUAAAGCUCUUUUACAAGGGAUGAUAAUGACAGUACCGGGCGAAAAAGCGCCGGCUAACUACGUG
rnacentral:rRNA from 1 species